GACGAGGUGGGCGAGUGGUGAAGGCGAUGGACUGCUCUGCAUGUGUGGGUUCGAAUCCCAUCCUCGUCG
rnacentral:tRNA from 1 species